rnacentral:rRNA from 1 species
AUUGAACGCUGGCGGCAGGCCUAACACAUGCAAGUCGAACGAGUGGCGGACGGGUGAGUAAUGUCUGGGAAACUGCCUGAUGGAGGGGGAUAACUACUGGAAACGGUAGCUAAUACCGCAUACCAUCAGAUGUGCCCAGCUGGGAUUAGCUAGUUGGUGGGGUAACGGCUCACCACGGCGACGAUCCCUAGCUGGUCUGAGAGGAGGACCAGCAACACUGGAACUGGGACACGGUCCAGCCUCCUACGGGAGGAAGCAGUGGGGAAUAGUGCACAAUGGGCGCAAGCCUGAUGCAGCCAUGCCGCGUGUAUGAAGAAGGCCUUCGGGUUGUAAAGUACUUUCAGCGGGGAGGCGUUACCCGCAGAAGAAGCACCGGCUAACUCCGUGCCAGCAGCCGCGGUAAUAC